rnacentral:rRNA from 1 species
GAUGAACGCUGGCGGCGUGCCUAAUACAUGCAAGUCGAGCGAACAGACGAGGAGCUUGCUCCUCUGACGUUAGCGGCGGACGGGUGAGUAACACGUGGAUAACCUACCUAUAAGACUGGGAUAACUUCGGGAAACCGGAGCUAAUACCGGAUAAUAUAUUGAACCGCGUGGUUCAAUAGUGAAAGACGGUUUUGCUGUCACUUAUAGAUGGAUCCGCGCCGCAUUAGCUAGUUGGUAAGGUAACGGCUUACCAAGGCAACGAUGCGUAGCCGACCUGAGAGGGUGAUCGGCCACACUGGAACUGAGACACGGUCCAGACUCCUACGGGAGGCAGCAGUAGGGAAUCUUCCGCAAUGGGCGAAAGCCUGACGGAGCAACGCCGCGUGAGUGAUGAAGGUCUUCGGAUCGUAAAACUCUGUUAUUAGGGAAGAACAAAUGAGUAAGUAACUAUGCACGUCUUGACGGUACCUAAUCAGAAAGCCACGGCUAACUACGUG